GACGAACGCUGGCGGCGUGCUUAACACAUGCAAGUCGAACGCUGAAGCUCAGCUUGCUGGGUGGAUGCGUGGCGAACGGGUGAGUAACACGUGAGUAACCUGCCCUCUUCUUUGGGAUAACGCCCGUCAACGGGUGCUAAUACUGGAUAUUCACUGAUUCUCGCAUGGGGGUUGGUGGAAAGGUUUUUUCUGGUGGGGGAUGGGCUCGCGGCCUAUCAGCUUGUUGGUGGGGUGAUGGCCUACCAAGGCUUUGACGGGUAGCCGGCCUGAGAGGGUGACCGGGCACAUGGGGACUGGGCUACGGCCCAGAGGGCGGCGGGAGGCAGGAAUGGGGAAUAAUGCACGAUGGGCGAACGCCGGAUGCCGGCACGAGGCGUGAGGGACGUAGGCUUGCGGGUUGUAGUCCUCUUGCGCUCAUGGUUAAGUCGCAGCUUUGGGUUGUGGUGAGGGUAGUGGGUAAGGAAGCGCCGGCUAACUACGUG
rnacentral:rRNA from 1 species